rnacentral:misc_RNA from 1 species
AGGCAAGAUGGUUGAUGAGUGCGAGGGAGAUACUUGUGAACUGCAUAGCCCGCCAUACUCUUUUGCAUAUGUCAUCCUUCGUCGGUCCAGCUGCCACCUCCUCCAUGCCAUCGGCACAAGUGUCCUCGUUUGUGAUCACGGCGCUCAGCCAUGUCUGUGCGUUCGAAAUAUGCCACCUGACGUUUUCCCCUUCUUCUGAGAUCAGUAGUCCUAUCUCCACUGCAGACUGUCGAGUCAAGUCCACUGCAUCAUCUAGCAACUCGGUGCAGUCGUGCAAAGCAGCUGCCUCCCCACGGUUAGAGCAUUCCUUCCUGAGCUCCUUCGUGUGUGCUAGCAUUGAUUGGAGUUGGGUGAGGGUGAGAUUCGUUGCGGCUAAGGCGAGUCGAACAGGGUCUAA